rnacentral:rRNA from 1 species
ACGCUGGCGGCGUGCUUAACACAUGCAAGUCGAACGGUAAGGCCCUUCGGGGUACACGAGUGGCGAACGGGUGAGUAACACGUGGGUGAUCUGCCCUGCUACUUUGGGAUAAGCCUGGGAAACUGGGUCUAAUACCGAAUAGGACCAUGGACUUCACGGUUUGUGGUGGAAAGCUUUUGCGGUGUGGGAUGGGCCCGCGGCCUAUCAGCUUGUUGGUGGGGUAAUGGCCUACCAAGGCGACGACGGGUAGCCGGCCUGAGAGGGUGACCGGCCACACUGGGACUGAGAUACGGCCCAGACUCCUACGGGAGGCAGCAGUGGGGAAUAUUGCACAAUGGGCGCAAGCCUGAUGCAGCGACGCCGCGUGAGGGAUGACGGCCUUCGGGUUGUAAACCUCUUUCAGCACAGACGAAGCGCAAGUGACGGUAUGUGCAGAAGAAGGACCGGCCAACUACGUG